AGAGUUUGAUCCUGGCUCAGGAUGAACGCUAGCGACAGGCUUAACACAUGCAAGUCGAGGGGCAGCGGGGGCGUAGCAAUAUGCCUGCCGGCGACCGGCGUACGGGUGAGUAACACGUAUGUAACCUGCCCUAUGCAGGGGGAUAACCCGGAGAAAUCCGGCCUAAUACCGCGUAACACCUUAGGGGAGCAUUCUCUUGAGGUUAAAGGAGAGAUCCGGCAUAGGAUGGACAUGCGUCGCAUUAGGUAGACGGCGGGGUAACGGCCCACCGUGCCGACGAUGCGUAGGGGUUCUGAGAGGAAGGCCCCCCACACUGGUACUGAGACACGGACCAGACUCCUACGGGAGGCAGCAGUGAGGAAUAUUGGUCAAUGGCCGAGAGGCUGAACCAGCCAAGUCGCGUGAGGGAAGAAUGUCCUAAGGAUUGUAAACCUCUUUUGUCGGGGAGCAAAAAGGCUCUGCGGAGUCGUAUUGAGAGUACCCGAAGAAAAAGCAUCGGCUAACUCCGUGCCAGCAGCCGCGGUAAUACGGAGGAUGCGAGCGUUAUCCGGAUUUAUUGGGUUUAAAGGGUGCGCAGGCGGCGUGUCAAGCAAGCGGUAAAAUAGCGGGGCUCAACCCCGUCGAGCCGUUUGAACUGGCGCGCUUGAGUUCAGGCGAGGUAGGCGGAAUUCGUGGUGUAGCGGUGAAAUGCAUAGAUAUCACGAAGAACUCCGAUUGCGAAGGCAGCUUACCAGUCUGCGACUGACGCUCAGGCACGAAAGUGUGGGUAUCGAACAGGAUUAGAUACCCUGGUAGUCCACACAGUAAACGAUGA
rnacentral:rRNA from 1 species